rnacentral:rRNA from 1 species
AACGAACGCUGGCGGUAGGCUUAACACAUGCAAGUCGAGCGCCCCGCAAGGGGAGCGGCAGACGGGAGAGUAAAGCGUGGGAAUCUACCCAUCUCUACGGAACAACGCAUGGAAACGAGUGCUAAUACCGUAUACGUCCUUCGGGAGAAAGAUUUAUCGGAGAUGGAUGAGCCCGCGCUGGAUUAGCUAGUUGGUGGGGUAAAGGCCUGCCAAGGCGACGAUCCAUAGCUGGUCUGAGAGGAUGAUCAGCCACACGGGGACUGAGACACGGCCCAAACUCCUACGGGAGGCAGCAGUGGGGAAUAUUGGACAAUGGGCGCAAGCCUGGUCCAGCCAUGCCGCGUGAGUGAUGAAGGCCCUAGGGUUGUACAGCUCUUUCACCGGUGAAGAUAAUGACGGUAACCGGAGAAGAAGCCCCGGCUAACUUCGUGCCAGCCGCCGCAGUAACAC